UACGGAGGGUGCAAACGUUGCUCGGAAUUAUUGGGCGUAAAGCGCACGUAGGCGGUUCGUUAUGUCGGAUGUGAAAGCCCUCGGCUUAACCGAGGAAGUGCAUCCGAAACUGGCGAGCUUGAGUACGGAAGAGGGUCUCGGAAUUCCCGGUGUAGAGGUGAAAUUCGUAGAUAUCGGGAGGAACACCAGUGGCGAAGGCGGAGACCUGGGCCGAUACUGACGCUGAGGUGCGAAAGCGUGGGGAGCAAACAGG
rnacentral:rRNA from 1 species